rnacentral:rRNA from 1 species
UCUUCCACAAUGGACGAAAGCCUGCUGGAGCAACGCCGCGGGAGUGAAGAAGGUGUUCGGUUCGGAUGAAGCUGUUUUAUGGGAAGAAGAAGUACAGUAGUAACUGGCCGUACCUUGACGGUACCUCAUUAGAAAGCAAAGGCUAACUAAGUGCCAGCAGCCGAGGUAAUACGUAGGUGGCAAGCGGUGUCCGGAAUUAUUGGGCGUAAGGUGCGCGAAGGUGGUCCUUUAAGUCUGCUGUGAAAGCCCCCGGCUCAACCUCGAAGGGUCAGUGGAAACUGGAGGACUAGAGUAGAGUAGAAGAAAGUGGAAUUCCAAGUGUAGCGGUGAAAUGCGUAGAGAUUUGGAGGAACACCAGUGGCGAAGGCGACUUUCUGGUCGGUAACUGCCGCUGAGGCGCGAAAGCGUGGGGAGCAAACAGG